UACGUAGGGAGCAAGCGUUAAUCGGAAUUACUGGGCGUAAAGCGUGCGCAGGCGGUUGGUUAAGUCUGAUGUGAAAGCCCCGGGCUCAACUUGGGAAUGGCAUUGGAAACUGGCUGGCUAGAGUGUGGCAGAGGGGGGUGGAAUUCCGCGUGUAGCAGUGAAAUGCGUAGAGAUGCGGAGGAACACCGAUGGCGAAGGCAGCCCCCUGGGCUGACACUGACGCUCAGGCACGAAAGCGUGGGGAGCAAACAGG
rnacentral:rRNA from 1 species